GGAGAAGGCCGGGGGCGUCCGUCGGCCCAGCUCUCGGAUGCACUGGCGACCUGGGGGAGUGCGGGGCAGCCAUGCGCAGCGUACCCAGCUGGCUUUCCUUUUCUUUCUUUUUUCUCGUUUUUGCUUGGAGGGCAGAGAACAGCCUAGAAUUACUGAUAAGCCCUUGUCCACUUGUCCACUUGUCGAAUAUUGGGUUGAGGUUAGAAUCCUGGGUUUUUUCAGUCCAAGGAAAACAGACGGAAAUUGAACGGGCUUCCUCAGCGGUGCGUCUGGGCCUUGGUUUUCUUCUAGGAAAUGAAAGUGGGAACCGGGUGGACCAGGUGCGGGGCUGACGGGCUGUGUAUGAAGGCGAGGGUGUCUGCUCUCCUCCGGAGUGACUAGUUACACAAAAAUCUUCUGGUUUGAGGGGGAAAAUAGCGAAUAUCCUAUGUGCUCCCAAAAGAGCUUCUUCCCCCAGAAAUUCUCUCUCUAAACCACACAACGCAUUUUGGCAGGACCUUCCUUUUAAUCUGAAAGUGGCAGGCACUGACCUUUCUCCGGGGACUUUCUGAGACCUCUGCUUAUCCGGGAGUCUGGGAACUCAGAUGACAUUUAAAAUCGUCUCUCCCUCUAAAAGCCUGCCAGCCUGACCUUCGGGUUUGACCUUGGCAUAGCUGACGUGUAUAAAACAAGCUGCUUCUUGCUUCCUUAAAGGUCCUCCUCUCUGUUCAUCUCUCGAGUUCAUGGAGUGUUUCUGUAGAUACGCCCUUUAAGGAAGGACGGAGGAGGCCGAAGGCGGCGUCCCAGGCGAGAGUGAAGCACCGGGCGAGUUAUCGGGCAUCACCUGAGAGCGGUUUGAAAGUCAGAGCAAAGUCGAGAGGCAGGUGUAACGGUUUCCCACCGCUGCUCACCCCUCGCGGCGCAGCCUCGCCCCCAGCAACAACCACCGCUAGGGGAGUGCACCGUUCCAGCCGGCGGGCCUCCACGGACACAUCACAACCACCCGAGGACCACGGUUGACCUUAGGGUUGACUCCUGUAUGUUCUUUGGGUUCAGAGGAACGUGCGAUGAUGUUUGCCCGCCGUUACAGUGGCGAUCGGAGCCGUGGCCCCGUCCCCAGUCCUCCACGGGCCGCCCGUUCGUCCCUCCCGCCUGCUCAGAGAGUUUGUGUGGACAUGUGUUCUCGUGUCCCAUGGAUAUUGCUGAAGUAUGGACGCCGUAUUGCAGGAAGAGAAUGCGCUACUCUGUGAGAUGCUGCCAAGAUGCCUUCCAAGUCAGCUUUCUGACCAGCAGGAUACAGGUGGCCUUAACUCUUUUUAAUCCAGUCUGCUAGUCUCUGACUUUAACUGGGACAUGCAGACCAUGGUGUUUUGUAUGAUCAUGGACACGGUAGGGUUUAAAUCUGUCUUCUUCUUAAGGCUCUUUACUUGUGUUACUUGCUCUCCCCCCCCCCUUUUUUUGGCCUACCUUUGGAUUGAGUAUAUAUUUUUUAAAGAUUCUAAAAAUUUACAUAUUUAUUUAUAGAAAGAGCACAUGAGGAUGGGCAAAGGGAGACGGAGAAAGAUUCUCUGUAGGCUCUACGCUCAGCACAGAGCCUGAUGCAGGGGCUCCAUCUCACGACCCUGAGAUCAUGACCUGAGCUGAAAUCAAGAGUUGGACGCUUCGCUGACAGUUAGUUACCCAGGGCCAUGAUGCUCUAGUCCAGAAUCGUCUUGGGCUUUUUGUUUUGCUUCAUUUUGUUUGGUGCAAGAAACAAGGAGCAGAAGAUGAAUUCAAAGCUGGCUGAAGACUUACACCGCACGAGUUGUGAGGCCAACUGAUUACCGGUCCCCUGAGUACUGAAGUCGACCAGCGUGCAUGGGAAGGGCCCUGUGUCUAAGUCAUAAAACGGAGGUCAGGAGCCGUCUACAUGGAAAAGAUCAGGCAACAGCGUGGACGUGUAACACAAUUUUUUCUUUUUUAAAAAAUGUGUUUCUGGGAGCGCCUGGGUGGCUCAGUCAUUAAGCGUCUGCUUCGGCUCAGGUCAUGAUCUCAGGGUCCUGGGAUUGAGCCCCGCAUCGGGCUCUCCCCUCAGCAGGAAGCCUGCUUCUCCCUCUCCCACUCCCCCUGCUUGUGUUCCCUCUCUUGCUGUUUCUCUCCCUGUCAAAUAAAUAAAUAAAAUCUUAAAAACAAAAUGUGUUUCUGAUGGAACUGGCGAUAAAGCAUCUGACGGGGGUCGGCCAGACCUUCACUUUCUCCUGAGUCCUCGCUGCAUCCGGGAGGGGGGUGAGGACCGUGCCGGGAGCAGAGGGAGGCGGUGGAAAAUUAAACCGUAACAUCUGAACUCAAAAAAAUAUAAAACCUUCUCAACUGUGAACUAUUUGUGAAGUCAAAACUGAACAUGCAGCACAUCCUGCAGGAAAUCUUUGUGAUUGGAUGGACUGCGGAGCCGAGAGGCCUCCUGAGGGCCGGGCAGGAUCGCCUCGGCAUUGUCUACGCUGGAAAAGACCGUGACCUCUCAGGAGGUGUCAGGGCUCAGCGGUCCUGCAGGAGGGAGUGAUGGGCUGUGCAUGCAGGACAGCACCUUGGACCCAGGGGCCAACGUUCCCAUGGUACCCGCAGUUCCUUACAACUCAGUUAAGUGCCCUUGGUGAGAUCUCUUAAUUGUUUGCAGGUCUUUGUGGAACCCCAGUCUUGUUAUGUGCUUUCACUGACGCGGAUGUACUGAGCAGAAGCCUCGGCUUGCGUCUCAAACACGAGGUUUCGAUGAGUGGGCUCUGGUGAGUCUGCGGGUCAAGGGAGAAGCGACAGUGGGUUUCCAAGCUACGCUGGCAAAGACAACCCCGUAAGCAAAAAGGAGACUCUGGGACUGGCCUGCCAUUCACCCGGGAAGUCGGGUAGAUGAUGGGACCCCGUUUUGUAAAGAAUUUGGGUCCAAUUCAUCAAACACUGGGAUAGUUGAGAAGUUUUACUACACCCAAAAGACAACGAGGGAGGGCCAGUCCGGUCCUACAGACCUGUUGUCAGAGCCGUGCCUUCCUGCGGCUUCGGGAAGCUCCCUCCUCACUCCCGGGGCUCCCCGCACCACUCCCUGCUGCAGGGGCGGACGCUGCCCCGCCUAAGGGUCAGGCUUGCAGAGCGGCAGGGAGGCUGUGUGUCCUGUUCGCACACAGAGAGCGGGACGCAUGCUUGGAACGCCCACGCUCCCUCCACAGGGCGAUUCUCCGCACCUCCCCCCCAAGCCGACCCCAGCAAAUGAGCCAGGCCAGUAAGUCUCCCC